CCUACGGGUGGCAGCAGUGGGGAAUAUUGGGCAAUGGGCGCAAGCCUGACCCAGCAACGCCGCGUGAAGGAAGAAGGCUUUCGGGUUGUAAACUUCUUUUCUGAGGGACGAAGAAAGUGACGGUACCUCAGGAAUAAGCCACGGCUAACUACGUGCCAGAAGCCGCGGUAAUACGUAGGUGGCAAGCGUUAUCCGGAUUUAUUGGGGGAAAAGGGCGGGUAGGCGGGAAAGCAAGUCAGAGGUGAAAACUCAGGGCUCAACCCUGAGCCGGCAUUGGGAACGGUUAUCUUGAGUGCUGGAGAGGCAAUCGGAAUUCCGUGUGUAGCGGUGAAAUGCGUAGAUAUACGGAGGAACACCAGUGGCGAAGGCGGAUUGCUGGACAGUAACUGACGCUGAGGCGCGAAAGCGUGGGGAGCAAACAGGAUUAGAUACCCCAGUAGUC
rnacentral:rRNA from 1 species